GCAGCGACGCCGCGUGAGGGAUGACGGCCUUCGGGUUGUAAACCUCUUCAGUAGGGAAGAAGCGAAAGUGACGGUACCUGCAGAAGAAGCGCCGGCUAACUACGUGCCAGCAGCCGCGGUAAUACGUAGGGCGCAAGCGUUAUCCGGAAUUAUUGGGCGUAAAGAGCUCGUAGGCGGUUUGUCGCGUCUGCCGUGAAAGUCCGGGGCUCAACUCCGGAUCUGCGGUGGGUACGGGCAGACUAGAGUGAUGUAGGGGAGACUGGAAUUCCUGGUGUAGCGGUGAAAUGCGCAGAUAUCAGGAGGAACACCGAUGGCGAAGGCAGGUCUCUGGGCAUUAACUGACGCUGAGGAGCGAAAGCAUGGGGAGCGAACAGGAUUAGAUACCCUGGUAGUCCAUGCCGUAAACGUUGGGCACUAGGUGUGGGGGACAUUCCACGUUUUCCGCGCCGUAGCUAACGCAUUAAGUGCCCCGCCUGGGGAGUACGGCCGCAAGGCUA
rnacentral:rRNA from 1 species